rnacentral:tRNA from 1 species
AGAGAUUUAGGAUAAUUAGACCAAAAGCCUUCAAAGCUUUAAGCGGGGGUUAAAACCCCUCAAUCUCUA